UUGUUGUGGGCAAGUCCUGCACAACCAGCUCCUACCGAAUCCCCCCAGGGCGGGAACGCAGCAAGGGUAGGUGGUUGUAGCGGUGUGAUGUAGNUAGCUUGCCCUUUU
rfam:Flavobacteriaceae bacterium TMED121 42841, whole genome shotgun sequence.